UACGUAGGGUGCGAGCGUUGUCCGGAAUUAUUGGGCGUAAAGAGCUCGUAGGCGGUUUGUCACGUCUGCUGUGAAAUCCCGAAGGCUCAACCUCGGGACCUGCAGUGGGUACGGGCAGACUGGAGUGCGGUAGGGGAGAAUGGAAUUCCUGGUGUAGCGGUGGAAUGCGCAGAUAUCAGGAGGAACACCGAUGGCGAAGGCAGUUCGUCUGGGCCGUAACUGGACGCUGAGGAGCGAAAGCCAGGGGAGCAAACGGG
rnacentral:rRNA from 1 species